rnacentral:rRNA from 1 species
UACGAAGGGGGCUAGCGUUGUUCGGAAUCACUGGGCGUAAAGGGCGCGUAGGCGGCCGAUUAAGUCGGGGGUGAAAGCCUGUGGCUCAACCACAGAAUUGCCUUCGAUACUGAUUGGCUUGAGACCGGAAGAGGUCAGUGGAACUGCGAGUGUAGAGGUGAAAUUCGUAGAUAUUCGCAAGAACACCAGUGGCGAAGGCGGCUGACUGGUCCGGUUUCUGACGCUGAGGCGGCGAAAAGCGUGGGGGAG